rnacentral:rRNA from 1 species
GAUGGAAAGCACUUUGAAAAGAGGGUGAAAAGUACCUGAAACUGCCACGGGGGAAGCGGAUUGCGUGAGUGUUGUCUAUUGAUGUUCAGCUCGUUACUUUUUUUGAGUGGCGAGUGUAUUCAUCGUAGGCUGUGUUGGCAUGGCUGUUUGGUUUUGGAUUUUGCAAAGCUAAAUGGUGAGGGGUCCCUGCAAAGGUGAGGAUGUCAACAAAAUAACGCGACCCGACCCGUCUUGAAACACGGACCAAGGAGUCUAGCACUACUGCGAGUCGAAGGGUUUUUAAACCUAGAGGCACAGUGAAAGCGAACAUUGGGAAAUCAAUUACAGAUUAGGGAGGUGUUGCGACGUUGUCAAAAUAUCCUACCCAGAGCAAUAGUGCUGGGACCCGAAAGAUGGUGAACUAUGCCGGAAUAGGGCAAAGCCAGAGGAAACUCUGGUGGAGGCUCGUAGCGAUGCUGACGUGCAAAUCGCUCGUCGAAUUUGGGUAUAGGGGCGAAAGACUAAUCGAACCAUCUAGUAGCUGGUUCCCUCCGAAGUUUCUCUCAGGAUAGCGGGCCGACGAUGUGGGUUGUUUUGUGU